GAAAGACAGCCAGAGAAACGCCCUUGUGGGUGUGGGUGUGGCUGUGGCUGUGGCUGUGGGUGUGGGUGUGGGUGUGGCUGUCAAUGCAGAAUGUGUCCCUGGAGAUUGCUGGCAGUUUGCACUGCGUGACCACUUUUCUAAGGCUGUGUGUUUGUGUGUGCAUGCACACUCACCUGUCAACGCACACACACACACACGCAUAUGCACUCGAGCACACACACGCACAAUGUAUUACAAUUCAACCCCAGUCGGGGAGCACUUCAGUCUAGGGAGAAGCCUUUUGUCUUCUUAAACUAAAAUCUCAGUCACUCAGAGAGGAGUGGUGAUGUUAUGUGCUAACAUUGUGCCCUGGAGUCCACUGGGUCUAGUGCUCACUUCCCGAAGAGGACUCUUUUUGUCUGACAAAUGAAAAUAAUUUCAGUAAAGGUCUAUUACUAGCUUGGUGUUUUAGGGCCAAGUUUUGCAUUGAAAAUUAAACUGUUGUCCUGGCAGAUCAUUUCUGCAUAAUUUUCUGUGCAUGUGGAGCUGGCUGUCUACAGAUCAGCUGGCUUCGUCUUCACUAUAAUGAGAUUCUCUUUUGGUGUGUUUUCGGGACACUCUAGAGACAAAGAUCUAUAUUUUUUUAAGUGCUAGUGCCCGUGAGCAAGACAUAUAUGAGCAUUUGUCAUCCACUCCCUGCACCACAGCUCAGUCCCAGCUGUGAGGUAAACGUAGAGUACGGUCCCUCUGACCCACUGAUUAAAUAGGAUGUUAUUCCGAGGAGCUUCUCAGAACUGAUCUUUCUCCCACACAUGCCACAGAAGCACAAACCCUGAAACAAAUACACCGGCACCAUGAUUGCUAGGAGAGAGGCAGGUAUUCGGGUUUCAAGGUUCCUUGGGAGACAACACGUAUCCUGAAUGAAGAAGUUGCAUUUCAGGUGACAAAGCCAAGCAGCCACCACUCCUCCCUGAAGGUUCUUUCAGCCCCUUGCCGGUUUAGUAGAGAAGCCAGUGCUUCUCUUGUGGCAUCAGGUUUUGCGUCUUGGUACAUAACGUUUUAAGCAGGGUGCACAUUCUUGCCUUCUUACGUUAUUACCACUAAUAGCUCUAGAAGCGAUGCUCUGAGCUUGUAAGUGUCCAAGAGCCACCUUUUUGGUUCUACUAUUAUUAAUUCAAAUGGUGAGACCAUCCUGUGGAACCCACGCAGGACCCAGGACAUCUUCUAAAUAUCAAGAUCCUUGUAAAUGUGCAGGCUUUCUCGGCAUUCUUCUUGGUGAUCAGACUGAGGCACCAGGGAUUGUUGGCCAAGUAUCUGAAGAAACUGGACGGUUUCUGGAGGUACUGAAGAGCAUAUUGGUGAUGACAGUUGAUGACUUCUGUAUUGAGAAUGUUAGAGUGGUUUUAAUCUAUGUGAUAAACAUGUACUCUGCAUCUUCUGUGUGUACUGAGCUGGGCGCUGGGGAGCAAGAGUGAGCAAAACAGAAGAUCCUGGCCUUCGUGAAGCUUAGCAAAUACAGGAAGUGACUCAAUUACGUGAAAUGGUGCUUCCUAGCGUAUACUAAAGGGGUGAUAAAUCAUACUCCUGGGCUGGGAGUGUCACGGAAACUGGUGUAGGCAAAUUAAAUGGCUUUAAAAGUAACUUGGAUGUGAAUAACAAACUGACUUCUCCUACUGUUUUGGAUGGAGGUAUUUUUGUGACAUUGUUUGUACUAUUAUCCCGUGAUUUUAUUUAUCCUUUCAUGCUGCUUCUAUUAAUUUGUAGAUAAAUUGAAUACAGGAACUAUACAUCAUAAAUCCCUGGGUCCUCCCCAGCAUGGAUUCUACUGUGCAGACAGGUAGAGCUCCAUGCCUGUACACUAAAUGAAUUUGUACACCUCCACCAGCAAGAGGCAGGCGUGGCCUCAGGCAUGGCUGCUUAUACCUGUUUUGAGUGUUUCAGAACUCUGUGUGGCCUGAGUAUCAUCUUUGAGCUGAAACGGUGACCUUCUGUAACCCUUUGCUGAACAGUUCAUAGCAACUAUCUCCAUGUAGUAGAGAUGGGCUAUAAGGAAAACUCCUGGAGAGCUUUCUUUUUCCGUGUUUUCUUGGUGGGGAAGUUUGCUUCCUUAGUAUAAAAAUCUCAGGAGGGAUGGUCACUCCAGGCUUAACAUUAACCAACUGGCAACAGUUGUCUCACUGUGCAUAUUUAGCUCUGAAGAUUUUUCAGACUUUGUGGUCUGAUCCAAGAUAUUCCAGUUGCUGUGAGGAAAUUCUUUGUUAUGUUCCUUUAAAAUUUAAUCUAAGGCUGUUUGUCUUUUUUUGAGGUUAGGCUGGGUUAGAGGCAAACAACCCACUUGAUGUCAUUAGCAGUGAGCCGGCUCAGGACCUGUCACAGGCCUGCCCUGGUGUUUUCAGCCCUUCUAGACUGUAUGAGGGAGGACACAACCACCUGCUCCUCCACCAAACAAUAGCUGGCCAUGUCCCUUGCUCAGCUUCCAGGACAUUUUUGUCCAAGUCUACUCUAUUCCGUUUCAUUGAAUGAGGGGAACAACUGUGUUCAGAAGAGCCUAAGGGACAGGAGGAAUUUACUGGAAGCAUACAGAGGCUACUGGUAGAAGCUAGGAUCUGGAAAUGAGCCACCCCCCAGAAUGGAGUAUAAGCAGGAGCAGUGUGGGCCACUGUGACAGGUGAACCAUGUCUCAGGGCUUGGUGCAGUAGACACUGAUGUCUCGCGGUUAUAAACUCCAGUGGCUAAUGGCCAGGUGGGUUAGCCCCAUUGGCACAUAGUCAUUCGGGAGCCCAAGAUGACAGAGCUCUGCCGUCCUCAUCCUGAGCAUCACUGGCAUGUCAGCUGACAAAGGAUGAGGCAGCAGAAGGUAAAGUAGGCAGCUUUCUGGGUCACCACAGAGGUGGCAUCCGUCACUUCUAGCCAUGGUCUAUCUGUUGGAACCCAGGCUAUGGCUUACCUCUAAGGACCUGCCAUCUAGCUGUCUGCCCAGUAAGAAGAAGAAGUUAUGGAGAACUGUCAGCAACUCUGCCACAACCAGGACACAUGGAAAUCAUCUGGAGCCAGGUCAACCACUUCUUGUAUCCUGACAGGGAGCUAGCUGGGUUCCCUUCCAUCUGCUCCUUACUGCUCAAAGGAGAAAAGCUACUUGAUGCUUUUUUUGUGAAGAGGACAAUCUCUUCCUCUCCCUCCCACAGUGGGGCUCACCAGUCCUGCUGUGUGGACACUGUCACUGCUGGGACAUGAGCUGUGGUAUUCACUGAGGCCCCUGCAGGGAUCAGAGGUUAUCACAUUUUUGCAGGGCUUACUUCAAGCAGCCAAUAACAGGCAUGUCUGUAAAAUACGUGAGGAAAGACAGUUUUCCCAAAAGACUCUGACCUAAAUUCUAAGUCAGGCUGUGCGUAUUUGCCAUUUUUAAAAACAAGAAAAAGAAAUUUUAAAAGACAGUUUCCCUCAAAUCACAUCUGUUCGGUUCUGCCUCAGCACUGGGAGACGUGUGUUCCUUUAUCCUCCAGGGAAAGGAGCGGACCAUCACCUUCCCUGGUUGCAUGGCUUUCCACUUUAUUUUCUUCCCAGUGUAGCAUUGGACGCAGCUCCCUGUCCUGAUGCUUAGCUGCAUGAUCCUAAGGAAUGUGCGGAUGAGGCUGGAACUGGCGCACAUUUGGAAGUGUAAGAAACUGCGGAUGGCAUUAGCACAUCCAGGCAACACCAACUUAACAGAACGUGCUGAAGGAGAUACCUUUUGAUCACUGGGAAUGUUUUUCACUUUAAGGAAAAAAAUGAUUGAUUGUCAGGACCUCAAUUCUAGUACCAGUGUUUGGUUGAUUGAUUUCACAUCUCCUGAGACUUGGUGUUGAACGAGGUGUGUGUGUGCGUGUGUGUGUGUGUGUGUGUGUGUGUGUGUGUGUAUGUGUGUGGUGUGCUAGGGAAGGAGAUCCUUGUAGUUAAGAAUUUUUUGUAGUUAAGAAGGAGAUCUUUGUAGUUAAGAAUUCUGAAGUACCUCACAUUCUAAAUAUUAAGGGAAGAAAGGAGAGAGGAGUAUCAAUACUGCUCUAGGUUCAGAUUUUGGAGCAAGAGUACUCUAAACAAUAAUGAAUCCAAAUGAGACAUGUACCAUGCUAGCAAAGAGUCUAUUAGACAUCUGUCAAAUGGGAAAACUUACAGUUUUGUGCUGUUAAUCACACCCGCCCACCACAUAUCCUUUUUCCUUUCUUUGCAUAUUUUUCUUAUGGUAAAAAGCCACACAUUAACACUUACACGUCAAGCAUUAUAAGUGUACAGCUCAGUAGUGUUAGAUAUAUUCAGUGCCGGGGACCAGAUCUCCGGAGCCUGUUCAUCUGGAAUUCUACCCAUUAAGCCACUUUCCUUUUCCUCUUCCUUCCAAUCCCUGGCAACCUUGGUUCAAUUAUUUUCAUGACUUUAACUAUUUUGAUACCUCAAGUGGAAUUAUAUAGUGUUUAUCUUUAUGUGCCUGGCUUAAUAUGUUUCAGGUUCAUGUUUCAUGAGCCAUGUUUCAGCUUGCAAUAGGAUUGUUUACUCUUCUGAAAACCUUUAUCAUUUAUUUGGGUUUUUGGGUCAGCGUCUUGCUAUGAGGAUCAGGCCAGCCUUGAACUCACUUUAAAGACCCAGCUGGCCUUAGACGCACAGUGGUCUCCUGCUUCAGCCUCUGGCUGCUGGGAUUACACAUGUGCCACUCCAUGCCUGGCGUCCUUCCCUUUUUAAGGCUGAACGAUAUUCUUUUGUGUAUAUAGCACAUCUUAUUCUUCCACUCAUCUGCUGAUGAACACGUAAGUCACUUCCGCCACUUGGCUAUCGUACAUAAAGGGCAGUGGACACAGGUGUGCUGAAAUCCUUGCACAUAUUUUGACUGGGUUAAUUACGUUAGCCUGUAUGUGUCUCUUGAUGCGAAUUUUCAUUGUCUCUUAUAUGAUUAGAUUUUCACCACAGACGUGCCCUCCAGCCUUAGCGGCUCCUUAGGGAAGAGUAUUCAUUUUGAGUCUUAGUGACAGGCAGAAUCUUAGCGUCUGUCCAGUGGUCCAGCGUCUCUUCUUGUGUACCCUGGUUCUCUUUCCUACAAAGCGCAAGCAGAAAGCUGUGAAACCAAUGUGCCCGUCCCUCCCCAUAGCCCUCGCACUGAAAUGCACCCUCGCACCGUGUCCUUUGCAGCACACGGUGGCAGCUAUUUUUGCGAUGUAUGUCACCCUAUGUAAAUGAUAAGCUUUCGGAUUAGCCGUGAAUUUACAUCUUACUGCAUCUUUGUUUGGAAGAGGCUUGUUUUAUUGCAGUAAUCCCUACUAAGAUUAGAGGAACACCAGGUGGACCCUCAGUGGCAGAUGGUUCCUGUCUUUUCUUACAGUUCUCUCCUAGGGAACGCAGAAUGAGCCAUAGAUACUGUGGCCUGAACUUGGCUUCUGGAAGGCUGUGAGCAAAGACCUGGCCUAUUAUGUGCUUGAAGUUUUUAUAUCAAAAGAAGCAUUCUUUUUCCAGGAUUCUGUCAGGUGCUUAUCUGUGUCUGAGGACAGUGGAAGGCUGGGGGCUGAGGAGAAAAACCUGUGCAGCGUGCGGCAGCGUUUGUGAAAGAGAUACAAUUCACCUUCACACAGGCAACUAAAAAGAACCAUUUUUCGAUUUUUCGAAGCAUCAGGGCACCAAGAAUAGACUUCCUGUGGUUGGGGUGUGGCUCAGUGUAGAGCACGUGCUUGGCAUGAGUGAGGUCCUAUGCUCAACUCCCAGCAACAGUGAAAAGGAUUUGCUUUUUAAAUAGCAAUGUUGGUGGUUUCAAGAGUGUGUCAUAGACUGGAUUUUUCAAAGAGAAAACAGACUUGGGCCCUGGAGUCUUCAGGGAAUGGAUAUGUGUGGCAGAGGUUGACCUCCUGUUAGGUCCAAGACAAGAGAAAACAACCUGCAACUCUUCAGCCAUAAAAUACACCAGCUGAGUGUCACAUGCCCUCAGCAGGUGGAGAGGCUAUCCCUUAGGAUUCCUUAUUCAGGACGUUAGUAUCAGUGUUACCUUGGGCUUCUGAGUGCCGUUGGGGAGAUAGUUUUCUUACCCACGUUUUUGUUCAUAAAUCUCUGUCCUCUCUGUGGGAAGUUGGCAGUGAGUAAUAUCAUCAGCCGGUCAGGUCCACCUGCAGUGUCCUGGAGAUAAGGUGACUUAAGGCUCACUCAGUGUGAGGAUCAGAAUGUUGGCCGGGAAGAGCAAAGUCAGGGAUCUCUUAAUGAUCAUAGUGACAUUGGCAAAUAGCUUUUCUUGCAUGUUAUAUGGGCCUUUCAUGUGUGUAUCCAAAAAUUAAUAUAAGUGACAGAAUACAGUGAGUUUGCCUUAACAGCUUUAUUUUUUACAUUAAUUUGAAGAUAAGUGAGUUUGGACAGUGGAUAUUUGUUUCAUAUUUUUAUUUUAGUGCACUUUAGUAUUUUUACAACUUUUAGUAACUUCUUGUUUUCUUAGUUUUAAUUGUAAAUUGACAAAUUAUAGUUUAUGAGGUACAAUGUGAUGUUAUAAUUUAUUAAUGUAAUAUAGAAUAAUUAAUUCAAUUACUGUAUUGACAGAUCUACAAUAAUGAGGUCAUGAAUAUUUCUGUUUGCAAGCAAUUUAGUUUACAAAAAAAAAGCAUUUGGCAAAAUUUUGCUUCCAUUCCCAAACUCCAUAUUAGGUAGCAAACGUGACCAUGAUCAUCUUCCUGACAGCAACACAGGCUCAACCGUCUUCCCAUAAAGUGUAAAACAAACUAAGUUUGUAAACCAAGGUACCAUUAUAUUGCCUGAAAUACUAAUCAUUUUGGGGAUGAGAACAUUUGAAAUUUAUUUGCAGUUUUGAAUGUGGACAAUAUAGUAGCAUUUACCAUGUUCCUCAUGUUUUGCAGUAUAACUCCAUGAAGUAAAACCUGUUCUGUGUAUUUAAUUGAGAUUUUGUCCCCUUUGACUAUCACCUUCCCGCAUCCCCCACCCAGAAGCCUCUGCACUCACCCUUGGGUCUACGCUUCUGUGAGUUCCGUUGUCUUAAGUGGCAUGCGUAAGUGAGAAUGUGGGUGUUUAUCUUUCUGUGCCUGGUCUAUUUCACUUAGCAUAAUGUUCUACAGUUUUGUUCAUGUCACAAAUGACAACAUUUCUUUCUUUUUAAAGACUGAACUAUAUUCCAUUGUAUAUCUAUCAUAUUUUCUUUAUCCAUUCAUCAGUUGAUGGACCCUCAGGUUGGACACAUAACUGGGCCAUUUCAAACAGUGCUGCCUUAUACAUGGGACAGCAGACAUCUUUUCUUCUUAGUGAAGUAAAAUAUUUGGGGUAAAUUACCAAACAGUAGAAUUCCUGGGGCACAUGGCAUUUCUAUUUUUAGUGUUUUGAGGAACCUUCAUUUACUUUGCUAUAAUGGCUGUAAUAAUUUACUUUCUCACUAUUUAUGGAAGAGAGUUUUUCUCUUCAUAUUUCAAUGCACUUUGUAUUGAACUUGAAAAGUAAUAUAUAGUGGUAUCAGUAGGGGAAAUGGGACUGUUGAGGAAGGAUAUUGUUUGAGGCAUCAUACCAUUUUACUGGUAGCUAUUCAGAUUUCUGAAAACUGGAAAAAUAGAAACAAAUGUACGGUGGUUGUGACAGGGAACUGAGUUAGAUUUCAGCCAGAGACAAGUUUUAGGCAUUGGGCUGCGGGCGGAGAAAGAUCAGGUGCAAGAGAUGGAGGCAAUCACGCUUGGAGAAAACACACAGAGGAUAACAAAAGAAGAGGCAUCCAAAGAGACCAGAAUGAACCACCAGAGGGUAAGGGCAAGCAGAGGGACCCAUGCCUGGGCCCCACACGGGGCCUUUGCAGGUGCAUACAGUGACCAGCCCCAAAAGGCCUCAACCCUGAGACAAGGUGCCAGAGCCCUGGUAGCUUUCAAAACUACACCACUGAAUAAACCCUUUCUCAAAAGAGUUAAAUCCAAAUGCAGUCGGUGGGGCUUCUCAGACAUGGCUUAUUUUGAAAGCCUCUCUAAACCAUUCUGUUUCCCAUGUAGUGUUCAGAACGACUGGUCAAGAAGGGGCAGAAGUUCUAAUGAAUGCACCAUUUUUUGGACAUGUGCAGUGUUUCAUUCAGCAGCAUCGCGAUGGUAGAGGGAAGCCAGACUGGGGAAGGGGGGGGAGGAUGAGUGAAACUGUGGAGCCCGUUUGUUGGUGGGGAGCACAGGGUUGAGGAUUUGGCAGGAAAGGGAAGGUGUGAGAUGGAAGACUGAGAGGAGUAAUUGCAGGGCGGACAAGGGCUUUGUUUUGUUUUAAGAGAUAAUAACAUGCUAAAGAAGCUGCUCAUUAAAGAGAGAGAGCAUGAUUGUAGAAAGAGGUAACAUAAAAGUGGGCCAGGCCGGCAGAUGAUCUAGAGCUCACGGGAGGGAGGGGAGAGGGGCUUCUUUCAUUAGUGAGAAACACAGAGGUGCUUGGGAGUGGGAGGGAGGCAGUGGCUGAGUCACACACAGAACCGGGGCCUCCUUCUCUGGGGUGCAGGAAAAGCCCCUCUGGUGAAAUGGGCCUGGUUACUAAGCGAAGCUGGGAUUCGAGCCGCAGAGGAAAUGGGCUGGACCAGUUCCUGCAGGGUCCAGGUUAGGAGGCCACGAGACAUCCAUGAAGCGAUGGCUGAGUGGUGUGGACGCGUCUCUACUGGGCCACCUGUGAAUGUGGAAUUGGCCAGCUCUUCAGAGAUUUGUUCUCUCCCGAUCUCAGCAACCUGUGAGCCCCAGAAAGUAGUGGGCAGAAGAGGUGGUUGGGAGGGGCUUCCCCUGGGAACUGGCGGGAAGGGUUAGGAGGCCACAGGGCAGUGCAGGAGUCUCAGCUCUAGAAGGGCGGCUUCCCAAUCAUGACAAGAGAGGUACAGUAGGUCCAGGAAGAGUAGCUGAGUGCACAGGAAGGCCGUGUGAGGUAGCAGAUGUGAAGGCACAGAGCAGAGGGUGUCUAAGGGAGGGUCAAGGCUGCCUUUGGUCGGCAGAAGACAGCUCUGAGGACGAAGAGAAGGUUAGACGGUGUAUUGGACAGUCAAGUGUCAACUGGGUCUAGGGUGAAAAGGAAAAAUCGAAACAGUACAAAAUAGAAAGUAGUUUAAUGAUCCCCAAACAGUAUACUAGAGAGAAGUUGUAGGCGAAAUAAAGCCCCCUUUAAAGAAAAGAUGGGAGGUUAAGCAGUGGUAAUAGUUUCUUUCCUCUUCAAGACCAGCAAAUCAAAAAGUAUGAGUAAAAUAUAGAAAUAGCUUAAAUAACAUGAAUAUUUUAUUUUCCUUGUGUUAUCUGGAAACCCAGCUAUUUAUUGACCAUUAAAAGAAGACAGUUAUGGACUUGGUCGUAUGUUAUUUUAAAAUAGAAACUCUGAAAAUAUAUUUGUUAAAAGAUGCUACUUGACACGAAUUCUCCAUUUUGCUCUUGGUCUUGGCAGAAAGAAAGAAAGAAAGAAAGAAAGAAAGAAAGAAAGAAAGAAAGAAAGAAAGAAAAAGAAAGAAAGAAAUAACAUUAUGUACAAACAUUAAUUACUCAUUAAUCUGACAUUUUGAUGGCAUUAAGCAACAAAUAUUAAUUUGAGACUCAACAUUGUGAUUGUUUUUAAGAUGUAUGACAUCUUGGAAAACAUGAAAUCAGCAUUUCAAAAUUACUUUCUUCAAAGAACGAUUGUAACAAAAUACAUUAUUAGAACCUUCUGUACCUUAAAAGCUUUCACUGAAACACCGCAAUUUACAGAAUUCAUUACUGUGCACAACUAAUUAGAACUUUAAAGGAAGUCACAGUAGGGAAUUAGACAUUUUCAAGAGCACUGCCUGAUGCUGAAAUGUACUUCGGGACAAAUGUCAUUUUGCAGCAAACAACGCCUUUGGAUCUUACAUACGUAUAUGGAUGCACGCUCCGGAGAGCAGCCUGUCUGACAGGUCAUGUUUAGAAACCCUUCUUGUUCUCGUGCAGACAAAAAGAAACGCAACAAAGACGGAAAGGGAGGGAUGGGACAGAAACGCAAAUUAGAUGUCCAUAGCAUACUCAGGAAGCCAAACAAAAAACGCAGACAUAUCUAAUUAGUUUCCAAAGCCAGCUUUACCCUCUGAAAAAAAAAAGAAAUCCUCAUCUAAAAAACCAGCACUGAUUGCUGCCGGAGUCCCAGGUGUAGGGGUGGUUACAGGAGAGAGAGAGAGAGAGAGAGAGAGAGAGAGAGAGAGAGAGAGAGAGAGAGAGAGAGAGAGAGAGAGAGAGAGAAGGAGCCACUGUUGUUCGAGUCAGCUGCCUUUGUGCUGAACAAAUGUGUUUACAGAAAGAACAUAAAAUCGACCAUGGAUAGCUCCCUCCCAGUCCCUAGAUUGAUUAAUUUCUAGACGUGCUGGCAGAUUUUUCCAUGGACGGGGAUCGGGUUUGAGAGACAAAUGUAUAAAUCAACAGCAGGUGGGAAGUUGAAUUUGUCUAGCCCAGCUGCCGUGCCCUGCAUUGCCUAUUCUUUUUGGUUAUCGUAGUCCAGCAUCUGUCAUGGAGUGGGACUCAUGGGCUUCUGUCAUCUUGGGCCUGGGGAGCCACAGUGGUGCCUGUUGUUUUGCGACAGCUCAGUGCCCUGGAAUAGCAAACAAGAAGACGGUCCUUUUCUCCUAGCAGAUCUGACAGAGUUGAGCUGUUAUUUUCUGGUAUUACAUUCUGACAUCUCUCCUUAUAGUGACGCCUGCUUUCACCCCACCUUGAGUUUGGGUACUGUAACAUGCAAGCUCUUUUACAACACCUGCCUCCUUGGUUUUACUGCAUAAAUAACAUUCUAAUAUCUGCAUGUUUUCUUUAUAUUUUAAUCUAGGUGAUGGUACACAGAGGUUAAAAAAUUAACCUGCUUUCUUGCCCCUUAGAUUAAGUUCUGCAGAAACUAUGUAUUUUCCACACGCUCCAGAAACGUGUGGCCUUUAAUCACCCAGCUGCCCCACAUUUUCAGCAUUUCUGAAUAGCAUACAGUUUCACUGUUGGGUGUGACCCUCAGAGGUCAUGUGCUCUAGUCCUCGGUGUAGAGAUCCUUCUGCCCCACCCUUCAGAUGGGCACCCCUACUUUGCCUGCCAUGGGACCAUGAGUUUACUGUGAUUCUCAGGCAAGUGGCAGCUGUCUUUCUCCUCACACUUCACCACUUGAGGCAUUGUUCCCAGAAGGCUUAGCCUCUCUUUCUUGAAUAAUAGCGAGGGUUGCUCUUUCUCCCAGGCUUUUUUUGAACAGCAGCCCAACUGGCAUCUCAAACACUUAUCUUCAAAAGUACAGUUACCAAUGCCACUUAGGAAUGUUCCCCCAAAA